AGUGAACGCUGGCGGUAUGCCUAACACAUGCAAGUCGAACGGCAGCACAGUAAGAUCUUGCUCUUACGGGUGGCGAGUGGCGGACGGGUGAGGAAUACAUCGGAAUCUACUUUUUCGUGGGUGAUAACGUAGGGAAACUUAUGCUAAUACCGCAUACGACCUACGGGUUAAAGCAGGGGAUCUUCGGACCUUGCGCGAUUGAAUGAGCCGAUGUCGGAUUAGCUAGUUGGCGGGGUAAAGGCCCACCAAGGCGACGAUCCGUAGCUGGUCUGAGAGGAUGAUCAGCCACACUGGAACUGAGACACGGUCCAGACUCCUACGGGAGGCAGCAGUGGGGAAUAUUGGACAAUGGGCGCAAGCCUGAUCCAGCCAUACCGCGUGGGUGAAGAAGGCCUUCGGGUUGUAAAGCCCUUUUGUUGGGAAAGAAAAGCAGCAGGUUAAUACCCCGCUGUUCUGACGGUACCCAAAGAAUAAGCACCGGCUAACUUCGUG
rnacentral:rRNA from 1 species